GACGAACGCUGGCGGCGUGCUUAACACAUGCAAGUCGAACGGAAAGGCCCUGCUUUUGUGGGGUGCUCGAGUGGCGAACGGGUGAGUAACACGUGAGUAACCUGCCCUUGACUUUGGGAUAACUUCAGGAAACUGGGGCUAAUACCGGAUAGGAGCUCCUGCUGCAUGGUGGGGGUUGGAAAGUUUCGGCGGUUGGGGAUGGACUCGCGGCUUAUCAGCUUGUUGGUGGGGUAGUGGCUUACCAAGGCUUUGACGGGUAGCCGGCCUGAGAGGGUGACCGGCCACAUUGGGACUGAGAUACGGCCCAGACUCCUACGGGAGGCAGCAGUGGGGAAUAUUGCACAAUGGGCGGAAGCCUGAGGCAGCAACGCCGCGUGCGGGAUGACGGCCUUCGGGUUGUAAACCGCUUUCGCCUGUGACGAAGCGUGAGUGACGGGAAUGGGGAAAGAAGCACCGGCUAACUACGU
rnacentral:rRNA from 1 species